rnacentral:rRNA from 1 species
AACGAACGCUGGCGGCAGGCUUAACACAUGCAAGUCGAGCGCCCCGCAAGGGGAGCGGCAGACGGGUGAGUAACGCGUGGGAAUCUACCCGUCUCUACGGAAUAACGCAUGGAAACGUGUGCUAAUACCGCAUACGUCCUUCGGGAGAAAGAUUUAUCGGAGAUGGAUGAGCCCGCGUUGGAUUAGCUAGUUGGUGGGGUAAAGGCCUACCAAGGCGACGAUCCAUAGCUGGUCUGAGAGGAUGAUCAGCCACACUGGGACUGAGACACGGCCCAGACUCCUACGGGAGGCAGCAGUGGGGAAUAUUGGACAAUGGGCGCAAGCCUGAUCCAGCCAUGCCGCGUGAGUGAUGAAGGCCCUAGGGUUGUGAAGCUCUUUCACCGGUGAAGAUAAUGACGGUAACCGGAGAAGAAGCCCCGGCUAACUUCGUGCCAGCCGCCGCAGUAACAC